AAGACGGCACGCGCUGCACCAGACGAAGUGCACGCGGACAAAGCGGACGUGUGCGUGCGCGACUUCCUUUCUCUUCCGCAGCUCGCGACGCCUCAGCAUGCCGCCCAAGGAUAGUAAGCAGAAGAAAGAUGCGGGCAAGUCCAAAAAGGACAAGGAUCCCGUUAACAAAUCCGGAGGCA